rnacentral:rRNA from 1 species
UACGGAGGGAGCUAGCGUUGUUCGGAAUUACUGGGCGUAAAGCGCGCGUAGGCGGCUUUGUAAGUUAGAGGCGAAAGCCCGGGGCUCAACCCCGGAAUUGCCUUUAAGACUGCAUCGCUUGAAUCCGGGAGAGGUGAGUGGAAUUCCGAGUGUAGAGGUGAAAUUCGUAGAUAUUCGGAAGAACACCAGUGGCGAAGGCGGCUCACUGGACCGGCAUUGACGCUGAGGUGCGAAAGCGUGGGGAGCAAACAGG